rnacentral:tRNA from 1 species
GUCCCGUUCGUCCAGAGGCCCAGGACACGGCCCUUUCAAGGCUGAAACACGGGUUCGAAUCCCGUACGGGACGCCU